CAGUAACUCAGCGGGACAGGCAGCAUCUCUGGAUAGAAGAAACAAGUGAUGUUUCGGUAAGGAGGAUCUCGACCCGAAACGUCACCCGUUCCUUCUAUCCAGAGAUGCUGCCUGCCCCGCUGAGUUACUCCAGCAUUUUGUGUCUAUCUCAUUAUAGCUAAUACCCUCUAAUCCAGGCAGCAUCCUAGUAAACCUCUUCUUUAUCCUCUUCAAACCUCCACAUUCUUCCCAUAAUGGGGCAACCACAACUGCACGCAACACUCAAAAUGCGGCCCGACUGAAAUUCUACAAAGAGACAUGACUUCCUGACUCUUAUAUUCAUCAUCAUUGGUGGUCACUCGAAACACCUGUGUGUGACUAUGUUUAAUGUGGGGAGACUGGUGCACCCUCAGCCACCACACGGUCCGUGACAGAUCUGGGUCAGGAUCCAAGUGCAUGGCGUCCGUUUUCCAGAGACCGUUUUCUGCUGCAGCCUUCAUCCGCCUUCCCAGCCGUUGUGACGCUCCACUAAGGUCAGCCACCAUCCUCCGCCUGUUCCAUCGUUGUGGUCUUGGUUGGAUUACUCUUUGUCAGAGAUUUCCCCCUCAACCUUACCGCUAUGGGUGGCCCUAUCAGGAGCAUAGUUCCAGAUGGCAUCGCUCUCAGGAUCUCAGGACCACACAAGCUUCUCCACCACGACAAGAUGCUGCCUGACUUGUUGAGUUCCUUCAGCACUUCAUGUUUUACCCAGGGAAUCAGAAUCCAGGAUUUGGAUGAGUAAAAAAAAAUACUGUUGAUGAGGCUUAAGUGGAGCAUAAAAGCCAGUAAGGACUGGAUGACAAACAGUGAUGGGCCCAGCACCGAACCCUGAGGCACACCACUAGCCACAGGCCUCCAGUCUGACACGCUCAGAGUGUCUCCGAGGAUCCUCCAGUGCUUCUACUCAGCGACUGUGGAAAGCAUCUUGUCUGGAAAUAUUACCAUCUGGUUUGGGAAUUGCUCUGCCCAGGACAAGAAGGCUCUGCAGAGAGUAGUGCGUUAGGCCGAACGCACUAUGGGAACUUCACUGGCCCCCCUGCAGGAACUAUACAUCAGGAGGUGCAACUCCAGAGCCAAUAAAACCAUGCAAGACCCCUUCCACCCCUGCAAUGGACGGUUCCAGCUGCUACGGUCAGGCAAACGCCUCCGUUGCCAUGCUGUGAGAACGGAGAGGUUGAGAAGGAGUUUCUUCCCAGAGGCCAUUCGGACUGUAAACUCCUAUCUCACCAGGGACUAACUUUACUGAACAUUUUUCCUUCCGCCCACAAUAUUUAAUAUGUAAAAGAAUAUGUGUGUGUUUAUGAUUGUGUUUAUAGUAUGUUUGUUUGUCUUUUUGCACAAAGUCUGCGAGCAUUGCCACUUUUCAUUUCACUGCACAUCUCGUAUGUGUAUGUGAUGAAUAAACUUGACUUGACUUGAGAAACAACCUUCUACCAUCACCCUCUGCUUCCUUCUAUGAAGCCAAUUUCCUAUCCAUUAAGCUAUCUCUCCUGUAUCCCAUGCGAUCUAACCUUCAAGAGCAGCCUACCAUAAGGAACCUUGUUGAAUGCUUUACUGAAGUCCAUAUAUAUAUAUCUACAGCUCUGCCCUUAUCAACCUUGUUGGUCACAUCUUCAAAAAACCCAAUCAGAUUUGUGACGCACGACCUCCCACGUACAAAACCAUGCUGACUAUCCAUCUCCACUGACCCCCAAACUCAGGAAUUCAUAAAAACAUAAAAUAUCCUGACAUUGGAAUUGCAGUCAGUAUGUCAUCGGUACACAUCCAUGUUCUAUGAUGAAAAAGAAGACAUUUUAAAGCAGUAUUUUCCAAAUGUAUCCCAUGGUCAAUAAUUACAAAGUAAGAAGAAGGUGCAAAUGAACAGAUGGCUAAAAAGACAGUGCAGGUGGGAGGUCUUCAAAUUCUUAGCUCAUCGGGAUCUUUGCAAGCCAGACAGAUGGCAACUCAGCAGGGCCAGGACCAAUAACCUUAUGGGGAGGUUUGCCAGUGCGGCCACAGGGAGUUUAAUCAAACUUGACAGCAAAAGGAAACAAUUUGGCAGUUUCAGAAGGGAGAAAGGCGGUUUGUAUGUGGACAUCAGGUUCAAUAACGGAGUUUGGAAAGACAGAGGAUGAAUGUAAAUGUGCUGGCUGUAGGAAGUAUGCAGAUGACAUAAAAAAUGCUGGUAAUUAUAGUGCUGUCUUAGGCUAGAAAAUGAUAUUGUUUGAGCAAAUGGAACUAAAUCCUGAAAAGUGUAAGAUGGUUUGGUGCAUUAUGGGAAGACUAAUAGGCAUGCCAUUGUCGUCUACGGCGGGCCACCAUCACUUAUAAGACUAAUAUACAUGCAAUGAAUAAUAUUAUCCACAGAGGUACAGAGGGACGGAUUCCUGACAUCAGCAGCACAGAUGAAUAAGUUAGUCAAUAGUCAGGGCAUAGAACAGAAGUGGAGGACUGUUUUAUAAAACACUGGUUAGACCACAUUUGGAGCAAAUACUAAUUACAGGAAGGAUGAAAUUUACAGAUCCCGAUAGUCUUAGGAGGCUGGAAUGUAUUGGGGUAGUAAUGGAAGCAGAUAGGAUAGUGGCAUUUACCACUUUUCAUUAUAAUUUUCAAGAAAGAGUUAGAUUUAGCCUUCGGGUUAAAGGAAUCAAGGGAUAUGGGGAAAAUGCAGGACCGGGGUACUGAUUUUGGAUGAUCAGCAAUGAUCAUAUUGAAUGGUGGUGCUGGCUCAAAGGGGCGAAUGGCCUACUUCUGCACCUAUUUUCUAUGUUUCUUUAUGCAUCAUAGGCAGGCAGAGGAGAUUAGAUGGCUCCGGUAUCAUGCUUCAAUAAUGUGUAGCAGAUUCACAAUGAUGCAACAAGAGAUUGCAGAUGCUGAAAUCUGGAGCAAAAACAAAUUGCUGGAGGGACUCAAGCAGCGUGUGUGUGUGUGUGGGUGGAGGAAUUGUUGGUGUUUUAGGUCGAUAGCCAGCAUAAAGAGAAGAGGGGGAACAAUGAGACAGGGGCCAGUAGGUGAUAAAUGGACCGAGGAGAGGUGAAGGAUGAACCAGGUGGGGGAGGGAUGAGGUUGGGAGAUGGAGGUAGGUUCAUGAUA